CGGUACCUGAAGAAAAAGCAUCGGCUAACUCCGUGCCAGCAGCCGCGGUAAUACGGAGGAUGCAAGCGUUAUCCGGAAUCAUUGGGCGUAAAGGGUCCGCAGGUGGCGAAUAAAGUCUGCUGUUAAAGACCGGGGCUAAACUCCGGAAAGGCAGUGGAAACUGGUUAGCUAGAGUACGGUAGGGGUAGAGGGGAUUCCCAGUGUAGCGGUGAAAUGCGUAGAUAUUGGGAAGAACACCGGUGGCGAAAGCGCUCUACUAGGCCGAAACUGACACUGAGGGACGAAAGCUAGGGUAGCGAAAGGGAUUAGAUACCCCUGUAGUCUUAGCGGUAAACGAUGGAUACUAGGUGUAGCUUGUAUCGACCCGAGCUGUGCCGAAGCUAACGCGAUAAGUAUCCCGCCUGGGGAGUACGCACGCAAGUGUGAAACUCAAAGGAAUUGACGGGGGCCCGCACAAGCGGUGGAGUAUGUGGUUUAAUUCGAUGCAACGCGAAGAACCUUACCAGGGCUUGACAUGUCGCGAAUCUAGCGGAAACGUUAGAGUGCCUUAGGGAAUGCGAACACAGGUGGUGCAUGGCUGUCGUCAGCUCGUGUCGUGAGAUGUUGGGUUAAGUCCCGCAACGAGCGUAACCCUCGUCCUUAGUUGCCAAUAUUAAGUUAGGCACUCUAGGGAGACUGCCGGGGACAACUCGGAGGAAGGUGGGGAUGACGUCAAGUCAGCAUGCCCCUUACGUCCUGGGCGACACACGUACUACAAUGGUUGGGACGAAGGGCAGCAAACUCGCGAGAGUAAGCGAAUCUCAUCAAACCCAGCCACAGUUCAGAUUGCAGGCUGCAACUCGCCUGCACGAAGUAGGAACCGCUAGUAAUCGCAGGUCGGCAUACUGCGGUGAAUUCGUUCCCGGGCCUUGUACACACCGCCCGUCACACCAUGGAAGCUGGCUACGCCCGAAGUCGUUACCCUAACCCGGUUUUGGGAGGGGGAUGCCGAAGGUAGAGCUAGUGACUGGGGUGAAGUCGUAACAAGGUAGCCGUACCGGAAGGUGUGGCUGGAUCACCUCCUUUACAGGGAGACCUAGUCUAAUUACCAAUAGAUAAAAAAGUUGGUAAUUCGCAAGAAUCCUUAGGUCGUGAGGGGAGCAAGAAAAAACUUUCAAACUGUAAUGGGUGAGGGUCAAUGGGCUAUUAGCUCAGGUAGUUAGAGCGCACCCCUGAUAAGGGUGAGGUCCCUGGUUCAAGUCCAGGAUGGCCCACCUAAAGUACAUAGGCAUCCUGCCUGUGCCACAAAAAAAGGAAAAAGUUUUGGCAUUGUCUCUUGUAAUCAAGAGCAAGAGAUAAUGCUGGAAUAGAUUCCAGCAAG
rnacentral:misc_RNA from 1 species